UUUUCGUAAAACUGUUUGUGAAUAAAAGUGUUUAACAAAAUAAAAUCACGAAUUUAACGAAAAGUUGAUAUUAUUGAAUAAUAUCAAAAAAAAAAAAAAAUAAUAAUAAAUAUAGAAGGUUUUAUGGUUGCCAUAAGAAAUACAUAAAAUUCUUAUUAAUUUAAGUUUAUUUAAAUAUAUAUUUAUAACGCCAAUAUUUCUCCAAAUUCUCAUUAGGAUGAUCCAACCAAAAUAUGUUUAGAAAUAAAAAAGUUUCAGAGUUAUAACUCGCUAGGUUUCCGGCUCUAUUUUGAAAGAUAACCAUAAUUUAAAUAAGGCUUAUAAUAAAGUUUGGCUCUAAUCGAACAAAAUUUAGAGACCUUCAUCAAUGACCCACUGGUGCAUGUUACCUUAAUGAAAGAUUCCAUCUUGGUACCUCUAUACUGCUCGAACUAUAAGCUGAUGAUGGUCAAAUGUAUCCUCAGUCUUUCAUUGCAAUGAUUUGACAUAAAGUCGAACCAAAGAACCACAUAAUCUGGUACCACGAACAUAGUCUUGCCUUGGUUAUUGGAGAGGUCCUUUCUGGUGCACGUCAUGGCGUCGGUUUAAACCCAUAUUGACGGGAAGAGAAAAAAUCUCUAGAAGUCUUGACAUUGAAAAAAUUAAUGUGGAAAUUUAUAAUAAAAAAUUCGAAAAAUCGUUCAAAUAAUUAAAACACUUGAUAAAUAAGUAAUAAACUAAAGUAUGUGGAUACUUGCAUGUGACACUCCUUAAGAUCAAUAAUAUACAUAACUGGAACAUAAUUUAAGUCUUCAAAUAUUUAUGUAUGUAAAUGAUGACUAUUAUGAAUAUUUUUAU